GCCAUAAUUUUAUUAGUCUGGUCAAGUGGCAGUCACAGAUGUGAGACACAACCUGGUAUCCAGGUAAAAGUUAUGGAAACAGCUCCAUAGCUCAUGACACUGUUAAACCACAGAAUCCUUGCCUUUAUUCCCAUUAUUAAAAUACUUCUACAUCCAAAAAACAAGGGGAGAAGCAGAGGUACAGCAUUCAGAUCUGAUCAGCAAGUUACAAAACUUCAAACACAACACAAUAUAUUGAAAGCGUACUAGCACCAAAUCUGUGAUGCUGCUUAUAUACUUGAGCCUAAGGUGAACCUCUCCUUUUAACAUCUGGGUCACCAGGAACGAUCAAGGAUUACCAGACCGCACUGCUUCCUACCCAUGCUUGAAGUACUACUAAAGUACUACCUAAACCAUCACCCAUGCUCGGAAGUGGAUCCAGUGACUAAGUACCCGAUUCAGCGGUCGCCGGCAGUAUUUCACUUUGGGUGGUAGCUGGUCUCUAGCAUGGGAGUGUAGAACAAGGCAGUUUGGCUGCAACGAUCGAGAUUUUCACCGCCCAGCACCAAAGUUUGCCAAGGAGCCGGUGAACGCACAGGUGUGGACUGAGUCCAUCUAAACCCCAGCCUGGAUCCAGCUGCGCGUGUGGAGGGAGGCGCUGUGAGAGCUGCUGCUGCUGCUGCUGCGCAGGGCGGUGCGUGCCAGCUGCUGCCCUGCUGCCUCCCGCACACUGAGGGAGCGUGGGCAGCUCGCCCCGCUGUGCCCUGCUCUGCUCGGGCUGCAGCAGCUGAGGAGCUGACCUGCAGCCUCUCUGGAGUACUGUUGUGCAGCUCUGAUAAUAGCAUCAUGAAAGGACCCAAUUUAUUUCUGCUGUGUACGCUCUGUUCCAGUAUUUUGCCUCCUCUUCUAUUCCCAGAAUCCUUGAUUUGAGAGUACGGGAAAUGCUGUAAAACCAAGCAAGAUGUCAGGAAAUUCUGCUUAUUCAUUCACUGGUUGGUUUCUCUUUUUUCCUAUUACCAGCUGUUUGGGCUUUGGAGACCAGAUCCAUGGCAGCCCUAGUUCAGUGGCAGUGAGUCACAGAGGACACACAUUUUGUGUUUCAUUGUGAAAGUGUGGACAACCUGGGGCUGGGCAGCUUCUACGGUGCAUCAGCUGAACUGCUCUGAAGGAGGGAGAUUAUACAUAACAGGAGAAAUCAUGUGAGGCCCUAGGUGCUUAGCAACUGGGAAUUGAAGUGCCACAGCUGGAGGAUGAAAAGCACUGAAGUAGGACAGCUCACGGAUGGCUUCAGAUUUGUUCUAGAAGUUUGGAAGGGAUAACUUUGUUUGCACAGACUGCAUGCCAGAUCAGAGAGGAGAAAACUAGCAAAGCACAAUAAAGAAGGUGGUGGCUGUUCAUUUGUAAGGACUUUGAAAACAAGCAAACAAACAAUAAGCAAAACCAGAUUUACCUUUCCAUAAAUCCAAGGGAGCCAGAGGAAGGAGAGGGAGGUGCAAUGGCAGAUGGCAACCCACAAGGAGGCGAGAACUGCAUGCUGCACUUUGGCACUCCAUGACAAGGACAACUUUACAGUAACCUACUUUGCUUAAAAAUUGAAUGAGGAUUAUUUGCUAACCCCACCCUCCCCUGCCCCCCGCCACCAUCUUCAGUCAGAUCACUGCAAGACAGGCAAAAAAAAAAUCUAAUUAAUUAAUUGACUUAGCUCUGGGAAGCUGUAUUUCUUAUACUGGGAGGACAUAAGAUAACUGAUUUUAAUAUAGUUAAGCCAGACAUUGCAUAAUUUCAGGCUUUGAUAUAGUUUCAAUGUGUAGAUGAGCUGGGGGACAAAUUUGCCUGCCCAGUAAAGGAGCAGUGAGUUUCUCUAUUACCUGGCCUGAAUGCUCCAGAAAUCUGCAGAAAUUCAGCAGAGGUUUUGCUAUGCUUUCUCCUUGUCUUUGCCUUCAAACAAAAGCAUGUUUAAUGGAGACAGACAACAGGUAAGGGAAAAGGAAAUUUGACUUUCUUGGUGUUUUCUGAAAAAUGGUUCUCCUGUCUAUUUCUAGCCAUUAAAAUUAACUUGCUAUCUAAAUGGAUCUUGUCUAAAUUAAUUGUGCUGUCUCCGUGCAGUGUUUCCCCAAGGAAUGCACUGAAAUACUGUUAUGUCUUUGCCUGUUCUUGACUGAUUGAGAUAUUAAUUAAUUAUAUGAAUAAGCCUGGGAAAGUAAAAGUAGGUUUUUCUCUUAAUUCACGUGAGUACUGGGCCCAAUGCCUCAUAAAUGGUGUUUGGCAGAAGUCACUUUGCUGUAUGACCUUGUUCCCUACACCACAGGGCCCUAGCUGGGUCGGGCAGAUGCGAAGAAGAAAGUGAGCUGUGCCGGGAGAGGAGACUCGUGGGUAGCAUUGGGCACCACGGCUGACUCCCAGCAAGGGCUUUACAGGAAUAGUGCUCUGAUGGACACAGGUACCCUCUCAGGUCCCAGCCACAGGGUUGUCAUGUAGCUAAAAAUUUUUGUCAUGCAGCAAUCCUCCUAUUCUGGGAUUUAUUCAGCUCAGUUUUGCAUGAGUCAGUCAGGCUGGGCUUGGUGCACUAAUGCUGUGUCCUCACUCUGUGCUCAGGGCUCGCUCAUUAGAGUCACAGAGUCACAGAAUCCUGUAGGUUGGAAAAGACCUCCAAGAUCAUCAAGUCCAGCCAUUAACCCAGCACCACUGUGUUCACCACUAAACCAUGUCCGUGAGUGACACAGUUACACUUCUUUUGAACGCUUCCAGGCACUGGCAACUCCAGGGAUUUCCUGAGCAGCCUGUUCCAGGGCUUGAAAACCCUUUUGGUGAAGUGUCACUGUCAUAUUUUCUGGAAAAAUGUUAGGAUUUCUCUCCUGGGAAGCUGAGAAGCCUCAGAGAAAAAGGAAAACAAUACUAUCUCAUUUGCUUGUCCUGUGUUUUGCUGCUUUGGAAUGUGGUUUGGACAUUGUUUACCAACAGGUGCAUGUUUGAUUGGUUUCAUGUGAAUUGUUUUGACUUAAUGACCAAUCAUUGUCAGGCUGUGUCGGGACUCUGGAAGGAGUCACAAGUUUUCAUUAUCAUUCUUUGUUGCCUUCUGUCUGUAUCCUUUCUCUAGUCUUUAGUAUAGUUUCAGUUUAAAUAUUCUUUAAUUUAAUAUAAUAUCAUAAAAUAAAAAAUUAGCCUUCUAAGAAUGUGGUGUCAGAUUCAUCCAUUUUCCUCCUUUGACGGUAACCCCAAUAAUUACCACAGUGAAGAAAUUUUUCCUAGUAUCCAGUCUAAACCUAAACCUCCUCUGGCACAACUUGAGGCCCCUCUCUUCUGCUCCAUUGCUUGUUAUUUGUAAGAGUUGGGUGAUUAUUCAGGAACAGCUUCCCUGCCCUGCCUGACAUAGCUCUAUCCUGACCAUGUCGGAGUCUGGCAGAAAGCCUUUGGACAAGCAGGGAGCCCAAGAGCAUGAGAUGUUGCUUUUUUUUUGAAAUUCCUGAAAAAAGAGAACACAUUUGCUAAUCUAGCAAAUGGAAACAUGAAUGUUCUCCAGGAUGAACAUAUUCUUUAUUAUUGAAGUGGACAUGACAGCUUUGUUUUCUCCUUGGUUGGUUGUUGUUUGCUCAUUUUAUGAAGAUUCUCCAGGAUUUUUAGCUACAAGGAAAAGUUUCCUUACUGACACUUUUAUUCUUCUUAUGGUGUGGAAAGCAAAACCCUGAAUCAUGUAACUUAACUUGCCUCAAAGCUGAGGGGAAGUUGAAUGUACAUUUUCUCUGCCACUAGCUUACUUAGAAUGUUAUAUAUCUGAAUAUAAAAUAAAAAAUACUUAGUUGGAACAAGAAACAAGUACUUAGUGUUGUUUAAGAAUGCUAAAAUUGCAGACUUAAGAGUUGCAGUAGCUAUUUCAUGCUGCUCAGCAAUAAAUGCUUUAUACUCCUGUAAUAUGCCUGUCUCCAGUAUGCCUAUUCUAAAAAAAAUUAAAUAUUUGAAAAACAGAACUUACUUUGUAAUUUAGCUUUGGCCUGUAACAUUUACAUUUCAAAACUCAGACUUGAUUUAAAAACAACCAUAUUCCAGGAAAGUAGGUGUUAAAAUUACUUCUAUAGUCUGUCCAAACCUUUCUGUUUGUAUGCUCUGUGAACUUGUGUAAUUCAUAUUCAGAUGACCAUACUGAGAAAGGUUCAAAUGUUUGCUUCCCAGAACAUGAGGAAUUCUUGCAGACAUGGUUGUGAUUUACCAAGUCCCUUGGUUUCUUUUCACAGAAUUGGUGGAGCCUUGAGCUUGAGGGAGAGAUGUGGGAUUGUCUGUGACACCUGAAUGUCUCAGAAACACUCAGGCUCUGCUGUUGGCUCCUCUGAAUCGAAUGCAGAGCAGUUCAGUCACUUCGAUGCUGUAAAAAUCACUGGUAGCUGUGUUGAAGAGAUGCCAAUUUUUAACAAGCAGCGUCUGGUGCUUUCCGGGCCGCUCCACGCAUGUGCAUUGAGUAGAGAACGACGAGCUUGCACUCUGUCUGCUCUGGGAAUCCAUGUUUAGUAACAUCCCCUCUCUUCCCCCUCUGCUUGAGGUGGGUCACCAGGACAUGAGCUUCAUUCACAAAAAGACAUCCAAGCUUGAUCCAGUUGCUCUCUGAUGGUGACUGCAGUUUUCAUCCACGUGGAGCACGGUGGCUCCUCUCCUGCAAAGCGCACGGGCUGCAUCCCACGGACACGGUGGCACACGGGGACAUAACCAUGACAAAUCCCACUGACUCUGCAAGCCUGUUAUUCUAAGACAACAGAGCAGGUGAAUUGCUGUUUGCAGGGCUGUGGCCCUCCCUUGUGUGCUGUAUUCUUCAGCCAGCGGGCAGUGCUGACCCUGCCUUGCAUGACACAAUGGGAUAUUAAUGUGUGUGAAGAGCUCUGUGUUGAACCACACACAGAACAGCCUAUAUAUAGCCAGAGGUAGCAGCUUUCUGAAUCAGGAUGGCUAUUUUUGUGACCAAUAGCAUGGGGGAAUGAAGAACUCAGUGACUCUGCACAGAGAAUGCAUGGCUCUGUUGUUGAAGAGGUUGUUGAAGGAUUUGUGUUUCCCUCUGGCCCUGCUCUUCACUGGGGUUUACUGGAUGGAUGCAGCUGGAUACAGCUGCAUACAGCUCUGAUGGUCACGGUCUGAGGCAUCUUCCUUAUCCUGCCCCAGAGGAGAUAUACUGUAUCAGGUGGUGUUAAUGCAGGGGCUAAAUGCCUUUGGUCACCCUCUUUCUCCAGCUCAGCAGGCUCAUGGCAGGGUUUAGGCUGGUGACUGCUGGGUGGCUGCUGGGAUAAUCAUAGUGCCCGAAGCACAAAAGGAGAGCCAGUGCCAAGGCUUUCUGCCAUUGUUUCAGGUGAAAGCACCUUGUGAAAUGUAACUCAUAACACUCCCUUCUUUCUAUCUCCACCAUCAGUUCAUCUGAGCAAUAAAAUCAGGCUGCCAUUAAAGACUUGUCUUGAUGGCAGUUCUAUGCUACCUAGGUCUGCAGUCCUGAGGACCUGAAUACUUGACAGCUCAUUUCCCCUAAACUCGCAACCACUUCAACCUUGCUGCCUUUUUUUCAGAACACGGACUCAUUUUGUGGUCUGAGGAUCACCUGUUAUGCACAAUUCAGGCAAAGUUUUUAAUUAAUAUUGUAGAGAGGAGUAGGAACAAAAAAGUAUCCUGUUUAUAAACUGGCAUAAAACUGCCACUUUUAUGAGAAUAGUAAAAUAAUACAAAAAUACAGAAGAGUCUUGCUGUUUUGUUUUCUGUUUGUUACCUUUACCUAGUGAUCUGAAGAGAUAAGCAGUUACUAUUCCUCAAAACAAACAUUUACUCAGUUUUUCAAUAUGUCUUUCACAUGUCAGUUAAGGCUCUUGUCCACACUUUCUCCUAGCUCCACAGUGCAAGUUAUACAAAUCAAGGCAAUAGAGAUCCUUAGAGGUGAGAUUGCACUCAGAAUACCUUCCUGCUGUCUUGUCACAUUGAACUCUCCAUUCCAAACUGGGAUGUGCACAGGCAUAGUCAUAACAGGUCAGUCCAAAAUAGAAGGAAAGUGCCUCAGGAUGGCUGUAGGGCAAACACUGGUGGUGUGGUUUCUGUCCAGCCUGAUGCCAUCAGUAUAACAAAAACUGUGAUUUCAGCUGAGCUCCUUCCAGAUAUUAGUUCAAAGUGCAAAAACCAUCCAGCAGAACCAGGAUUUGUGGAGGAAAUGACCAGGGCUGAACAAGAAUGGUGGUUAUCUCCUUAAAAAAAAAAAAAAAAGCCUGUAAGGCAAGCACACACAAUACAGCUGCCUGCAGCCUGCCAGGCCAGGGAAAAAAUUAGGAACAUUGAACUUCCAGUCCCUUGGCUUUCAGAAAUGUAUCUCAUUAAUCUCAUUUUCUGAAUGAUUUCUGAAUUUAUGUACUUUGUAACAUGCAACUACUACUACUAAAUACAUCAUACCAAACCAACACUUAUGCUUUCUUUGCUCUAUUCAUUAAUUUUUCUCUUUUAACAGAUCAGCUCCCAGCCUCCAGAAAUUGCAUCUUAUGGUAACAUUGGGUAUUAAUGAUGUACAAAAUUUGGAGGCUUUCCUAAUAUGCCCCUACAUUCCAGUGAGCUGCUCUUUUAUUCAACUAAACAGAUUAUGGCCUUGUGUUUCUCUCUUUCACUCACGACAGAAAGGAGACUUUUUUUUUUGUUAAGAUAAUGCCUUGUAAAACAUUAUUUUUCCUACUGGACUACAAGUACCCUGAGCUUCCACUGAACACAGUAGUGAUGGGGGAUGCUUAUGAAACUAAGUCUGAAUUCUCAGCUAAGUGAAGCAUUUGGGAUUUAUUUCAGUCCCACUGAAAUCAGUGGGAAAUAAAAAGAAUUUUAAACAAACAUCUGAGUGCUUUGCCAAAUGCAGUUCGAAUGCUGAAUGUAGGUCUCAACAAGAAACUGUUCUAUUUCUUACCGUGAUAACAUAUUUUGACACACUGUUAUGGUACCAAGUCAGCCAUAUCAUCUUUAACACAUUACAACCAAGAGAGAAGUCAGCCUGGUGCACUAAAAUUCAUGAAUAAGGAUCAUAUUUGAGUGGUAUUUCCCAAAAUCAGCGACACCCAUUUUUAGGUGAAAAGUACAAUGUCUCUAUGUCCCAAGAAGUCUUUCACUUUUAUGUCUCCAAGGAAUCUCGGGCCAGGAGUCAGGCAGCCAGUGAGGCGGCCAGGUGCACAGACUUCAGACAGGUGUUUUGCCCAAGUGUGGAGCAGGCAGAGUUACAUGUGAGAGGCCCAUUACCUGCCCUGGUGUGUUGGCAUGCCUGAGGAGUAGAGGAGCUCACUGCAGCACCACAUCUCCUGCAGACUGCUGUGGCUUUGUUCCUGCAGACUGCUGUGGCUUUGUCCAGAAGGUUUGUAAAGCCACACCUAUCUUCCCCCCAAACAGAUCCUUUUGGUGUUUGCUUUUUACUGUUUUUAGUACACAGUUUCACUUUUACAAAACUUGGAUCUUGUUAUGAAUUGCGUUGCUCCAGCUACAGGAUAUUUUCUGUACGUUACAGCUACUGAAUAUUUCCUUGUUGUUCCUGCAGUCACUUUUGUCUUUCCAAAUUUUGGAAUUUAUCUGAAUUGUUCUUCAGAGUGUUUGUGGUAAUAAAUCUUUGUCUAGUUGACAG